UAGAACUACAUAUAAUUUUUAGUAUUGGGACUGCUCUGCUGUAUCGUACGCGCGUCUUUCAUUCCAUCGGUCUAAAUUUCCAAUAAUGAAAAUUUAAAUUGCCUACGACCUAGCUAUAUACUCCUUUCGUAUAGAAUUUAGAUGUCGUUUUGGACAAGAUUUGAAUCAAACAUUGGUAAUAUAAAUUAUUAAUAAAUUUUAAAUUAUUGAAUUUGUAAAUGUGAAAAUUAUAUAAAUAGAUUUGUCUUGAAAAGUAUUUUUAUAAAUAUAUAUAUAUAUAUAAUUUUUUCCUAAAUAUUUUUAUAAAACAAGAGGUUAAAAUUGUAUUCUAAAAACUAUGUCGUUGUGCUAAACGACAUCUAAAUUAUAUACGGAGUGAAUAUAUAUGCAUACAUGCCUAUAUAUACCAUCACACAUCCAACGCCUUGUGUUAAUUACUACUACUCUUUUCUUCUUGAAUCGCGCAUGGGCAGGAUCGAUUUCAUGAUGACAUUUAUUCGAUCAACUAGCUAGCUUGAUCUUGUAAAAAAAAAAAAAACUAGCUAGCUUGCCACCCGCGCCGCUGGUCUGAGGUCAGUCUUAAUGUAUAUAGUUUUAUGAUAGUUAAUAAGACUAUAAACUAGGUCAUAUGAGUUUUAUGGAGAUGAAACUCAUCUCUCAUUUAAUGAAACUCUUUCAUUUAAUGACCCUGCCAAGUCAGCAAUUUUGCUUAUGUGACACCAUAUUUAAUGUACAUGACACUCUCAUGAAAUAUGCAUUGAGACUGACCUUACCACUAGCUGCUUCGAUCGAAUUUAUACUAAUUAAAUCCAAAAUAAAUAACUAAAUAAAUGCUUAGAAGUUAGUAGAGCGAGUAGUGUCUUGUACAGUAGUACUCUAUACUUUAGGCCUAGUUUAGUUUC
rnacentral:lncRNA from 1 species